UUGACCUCGGAUCAGGUAGGACUACCCGCUGAACUUAAGCAUAUCAAUAAGCGGAGGAAAAGAAACCAACAGGGAUUGCCCCAGUAACGGCGAGUGAAGCGGCAACAGCUCAAAUUUGAAAUCUGGCCCCCGGGUCCGAGUUGUAAUUUGCAGAGGAUGCUUUUGGUGCGGCGCCUUCCAAGUCCCCUGGAACGGGACGCCAUAGAGGGUGAGAGCCCCGUCUGGUCGGACGCCAAACCUCUGUAAAGCUCCUUCGACGAGUCGAGUAGUUUGGGAAUGCUGCUCUAAAUGGGAGGUAUAUGUCUUCUAAA
rnacentral:rRNA from 1 species